CCUGACAGGGGAUGUGCUGGCGUCAAGGGGGCCCUCUAGGUGGGUUCCCAGACACUGCAGAGCCGCGCACUCCUUGCUAGCCUCCAAGGAAGAGUGAGCUAAAGGGGUUAAAAGGAAGAGCUUGCCCUGAACGAGCAGAUUUCUUUCACUUGCUGACCGAGAUGGUGGGAAUAGUGAAGCUGAGAAGGCAAACAGCAGUGUGGAAAUCUGAGGAGGCUGAGGAAUGAAAGCACUACCCACCACUGACGCAAGUUGCCAGGAAAGUCAUUUGGUAAAAUUGAUUCAUUCAGCAUGCCAAGCAGGAGAGGAAAAGAGCAGAGAAAUGUAAACAGAGAAAGCUUGGACCUGGAGAGCAAUGUUUUCCUUGGGAUGAAGUAAGCUGUUGAUGGAGGCGACAUUGGCUACCUAUUUCCAUAUACCAGGACCUACUAGAGGGUAAGGAGAUGAACUAAGAAGUUCAGCCGUUGACAAGAAGGUGGAAAAAGAGGAACACUUCUUCAUUGCUGGUGGGACUGCAAGCUGGUUUAACCACUCUGGAAAUCAGUCUGGUGGUUCCUCAGAAAACUGGACAUA